GGCAGACGGGUGAGUAACACGUAGCUGACCUGCCGUGUGCUGGGGGAUAACACCGGGAAACCGGUGCUAAGACCGCGUAAGCUCGCUGGGGUUAGAGUCCUGGUGAGGAAAACGAAAGUGGCACACGAGGGGGCUGCGGGCCAUCAGGUGGUUGGUGGGGUAAUGGCCUACCAAGCCUGCGACGGCUAUGGGACCUGAGAGGGUGACCCCCCACACUGGAACUGAGACACGGUCCAGACUCCUACGGGAGGCAGCAGUAAGGGAUAUUGCACAAUGGGCGCAAGCCUGAUGCAGCAACGCCGCGUGCAGGAAGAAGGGCUUCGGCUCGUAAACUGCUUUUCUGGAGGACGAUAGUGACGGUACCUCCAGAAGAAGCCCCGGCUAACUACGUGCCAGCCGCCGCGG
rnacentral:rRNA from 1 species